rnacentral:lncRNA from 1 species
GAGUCGGCAUCACUCUCUGCCACAAAAAAAAGGUGGAUCUCUAGCACUAGUAGCAUUGCGAUUGACCUCUUUGUUAGCGUCACAGAUGAUACUUGUAAGAAUAAUAUUGUAGAACGGCUUGAUGGGGAUCGCAAUUGUUUAGCACAUCUCAAGAACGCUGGAUGCAUUAUUUUCCACCUGCAAUCGGAGUUCCUUAUUAAGAACCCAACUCCACCAUAUGGCAUUAGAGAUCCUGAUUAAGAAUCCAAGUCCAUCAUUUGAUUCAUAGUGUCCCUACCCAUCACAAUCCAGUCUAUACCAUCAUCCUCUUUCCCAAAUGUCAGUUUUCAUGGGUUCCUUCAAGCUACUGGUCAUUAGCUACUCCCAACAACUAUCCUAGUGAUGUUUUCGGCUUCACAUAUAUAGUAUAGCUUUCUCUAUCCAAUACUGUUCAUCAUCUUCAGCUCCACAUACGGCAGCCACAGUUUCCAACACAAGGUGGGUGGCCAUGACAGCAUCAACAUUAGAAAUGGAAUCAGAAAGUUUUCUUUGUAUGAUGCAUCUAAACCUCUAUUUUUACAGUCGUUAAUCCAUCGUAAUCCCAAACUGAAUGCUGUCAUUAUAUUUUCUUUAGAGAGGAUUGUAAUUGUUUGAUUGCAGGCUAAAGAAAUCAGCAGAUUGUUAGUGUAAACAACCUUAAGCUGUGGCCUCGGGACCAACGCAGCUUGGUUCGGAUCCGGAUGACGCGGAUCUCCCUGGGAUGUUCCUUCCGACUGCUGAGGUGGUCGAUCACGGUGUUCCGAUUGGGAUGAGGUCGCUAUUCCCUCCAGGCAAGAACUCCUCGUCUGCGCAUUCGAUGGAGACCUUCGGCUUCGCACCUACACAAAGGUCGGGUCGGAGAGCUCGGCCCAACCCCUCCGACGAUCAAGUUAGUGAGUGGUCGUGGGAGAUUCGCUCUUUUUCGGCCAAGUUUUCUCCCCUCUUUUUUCUCGACGCGCGAGGGUUUUUAUAGUGAGAAUUACCAUUGCACGAUGUGCCUGCCCGCAGGGAGUAGGAUCGUACCUCUGGUAGCGUCUGACAUUG